AUUGAACGCUGGCGGCAUGCCUUACACAUGCAAGUCGAACGGUAACAGGUCUUCGGAUGCUGACGAGUGGCGAACGGGUGAGUAAUGUAUCGGAACGUGCCCAGUCGUGGGGGAUAACUGCUCGAAAGAGCAGCUAAUACCGCAUACGACCUGAGGGUGAAAGCGGGGGAUCGCAAGACCUCGCGCGAUUGGAGCGGCCGAUAUCAGAUUAGGUAGUUGGUGGGGUAAAGGCUCACCAAGCCAACGAUCUGUAGCUGGUCUGAGAGGACGACCAGCCACACUGGGACUGAGACACGGCCCAGACUCCUACGGGAGGCAGCAGUGGGGAAUUUUGGACAAUGGGCGCAAGCCUGAUCCAGCCAUGCCGCGUGCGGGAAGAAGGCCUUCGGGUUGUAAACCGCUUUUGUCAGGGAAGAAAUCUUCUGGGCUAAUACCCUGGGAGGAUGACGGUACCUGAAGAAUAAGCACCGGCUAACUACGUGCCAGCCGCCGCCGUAA
rnacentral:rRNA from 1 species